rnacentral:rRNA from 1 species
GACGAACGCUGGCGGCGUGCCUAACACAUGCAAGUCGAACGGAAAGGCCCUGCUCUUGUGGGGAGCUCGAGUGGCGAACGGGUGAGAAAAACGCGUGUAACCUGUACUUGACUUUGGGAUAAAUUCAGGAAACAGGGGCUAUCAUCGGACAGGAGAUCUUGCUGCACGGUGGGGGAUGGAAAGUUCCGGCGGUUGGGGAUUGACAGGCGGCUUAUCAGCUUGUUGGUGAGGUAGUGGAUUACAAAGGCUUUGAAGGGUAGCAGGCCUGAGAGGGUGACCAGCCACAUUGGGCCUGAGGUACGCACCAGACUCCAACGGGCGGCAGCGAUGGAAAAUAUAGCACAAUAGUCGGAAGCCUGAUGCAGCAUCGCCGCGUGCGGGAUACCGGCCUUCGGGGUAUAAACCUCUUUCGCCUGGAACGAAGCGUGAGUGACGGUAAUGUGUAAAGAAGCACCGGCUAACUACGUG